rnacentral:snRNA from 1 species
UUGCUUCAGCAGCACAUAGACUAAAUUUGGAAAGACACAGAGAAGAAUAAACAUGGCCCCUGCAUAAGGAUGUAAUACAUAUACAUGAAGUGUUCCAUAGUUUU